rnacentral:Y_RNA from 1 species
GGUUGAUCUGCAUGCAGUGGUGUUUACAGCUGGUUUAUCACAACCAGUUACAGAUUCCUUUGUUCCUUCUCCACUCCUACUGCUUUGCUUGACCAGCCUUUA